rnacentral:lncRNA from 1 species
UCAAUUUCCCAAUUUCUGAUUUUCUGUGACAUUGGACCUACAAGGAGCAACUCUCUCUCUCUCUCUCUCUCUCUCUCUCUCUCUCACACACACACACAAGAAGAAGAAGAAGACACCCAGUCAUGUUUGAUUCAUUAACAAGUGUCUACUUAACAAUGGGUUUCUUCUUCUUGUUGUUGUAAAUGGUUUCCACCAUCUAAUAUAAAACACCAUUU